rnacentral:rRNA from 1 species
UGGGGAAUAUUGGACAAUGGGGGCAACCCUGAUCCAGCAAUUCUGUGUGCACGAAGAAGGUUUUCGGAUUGUAAAGUGCUUUCAGCAGGGAAGAAGAAAGUGACGGUACCUGCAGAAGAAGCGACGGCUAAAUACGUGCCAGCAGCCGCGGUAAUACGUAUGUCGCAAGCGUUAUCCGGAAUUAUUGGGCAUAAAGGGCAUCUAGGCGGCCCUGUAAGUCUAGGGUGAAAACCUGCGGCUCAACCGCAGGCCUGCCCCGGAAACUACAGGGCUAGAGUAUCGGAGAGGUGGACGGAACUGCACGAGUAGAGGUGAAAUUCGUAGAUAUGUGCAGGAAUGCCGAUGAUGAAGAUAGUUCACUGGACGGUAACUGACGCUGAAGUGCGAAAGCUAGGGGAGCAAACA